rnacentral:rRNA from 1 species
GUUGAUCCUGGCUCAGAAUGAACGUUGGCGGCGUGGAUUAGGCAUGCAAGUCGUGCGGAAAGGCCCCGCAAGGGGUGCUCGAGCGGCGAAAGGGAUAGUAACGCGUGGAUUACCUACCCUCGGGACGGGGAUAGCUGGGGGAAACCCCAAUUAAUACCCGAUAACGUCUUUGGACCAAAGGUGAAAUUCCGCCUGAGGACGGGUCCGCGUCCUAUUAGCUAGUUGGUGAGGUAACGGCUCACCAAGGCAACGAUGGGUAGCGGGUGUGAGAGCACGACCCGCAUCACUGGGACUGAGACACUGCCCAGACACCUACGGGUGGCUGCAGUCGAGAAUCUUCGGCAAUGGGCGAAAGCCUGACCGAGCGACGCCGCGUGUGGGAUGAAGGCCUUCGGGUUGUAAACCACUGUCAGUGGGAAUGAAAUACGGGAGGGUUCACCCUCUCGUUUGACAGACCUUCAGAGGAAGGACGGGCUAAGUUCGUGCCAGCAGCCGCGGUAAUACGAACCGUCCAAACGUUAUUCGGAAUCACUGGGCUUAAAGGGUGCGUAGGCGGCCCGGUAAGUUGGGUGUGAAAUCCCUCGGCUUAACCGAGGAAUUGCGCUCAAGACUGCCGGGCUCGAG